CCGUGUGGAUUUGGAGACUCAGAUAGGAUCUUGUGAGUUCCUGUUUCACACAACCUGAGGAAAAAAUGGAAAAUAAGUAACCAAGAUAAAGUGACCGCUACUGAAUCUUAAACAUGUCUUUAAGAUCAAGACACUGUGGGAAGAUCUAUAAGGAAAGAGAUGCACAAGACCAAAGUAACAAAGUUCAACUGGGUCUUCAGAUGUACCAUUGGUUGUUAGGAAGAAAUGAAGCCUGUGAGUGGGUAAAGGUGGGUGAAUUGGUAAAGCCAUGCAAGAAAGCCAUAAAAAGCAUGUCAAGAGUGAGAAACGUGAAAGAAGCUCCAAAGAGAGAACACGGACAGAGCAAAGUAUUUGUGUGUUCCUUUGUAGGAAGAUGGGAUGUAUUCAAAACGUCCACUUUACAAAAUUUGGUAGAAUAAAACGUAGGAAACAUGAAAACAUUUGGAUGGAAGUGCAGUUUUGAAUCAGUAAAGAUAAAAAAUCAACACAGAAGGACUUUGCUCUAUACAAAGGCAACCACAUAGAGGAUUUCUAUUCAGUUUCCUGUCUGGUACAGAUACCCAAUUUAUGAAUCA
rnacentral:lncRNA from 1 species